CCUUGCUUUAGGUAAGGCAUUGUUAAGGCGUUUUCUUGACAUAUUUUAUAUUUGAAACAGGAGCUGUUACGCUGGAUACUACAUCUGAGCGUUAAUCCAACUUCUUUCACACAACUUUACCAGAAUAGGUGUUCUGGUCUACUUUCUAACUACACCAGUCAGAUGGACAACGCUCCACCAUCUGCUCUUCAGUAUGUCAGAAAUGGCAGGAAAAAUCUCAUGGAUCAACUCAAAUUUCCCAUUUCAACUGCCAAAGAGCUUAACCAGCAUGGUAUUCUCAGUGAGGAGGAACUCUGUGCUAUUAGAGGACAAUCUGGGAGGCCUGACGCAACAAGCAAAUUACUGGACAUGGUCAUUGCUAAAGGGGAGCAGGCUUGCUGUGAAUUACUUCAGUUACUGCAAAAUAUAUAUGCGUUGAAGUGGUAUGCAUUUUGUGACUCCCAUCCUUGCUAUAGUCGUCAACACAGUCCGGAAGAGGCUUUUCAUGACUGGAUCAAAAACAUCCCCCAAAGUCUGACAAAAGGGUCCAGAGAGACAUCGUUACCCAGAUUCAUUGGAAAUUAUCUGUACCUUGACGUGAAGGAGGAUGAAGAUGAGGCUGUGUUUGAAGAAGCUGGGGCAAUCAUGAAGCAGCAUCCAGAAAAGAUGCAACUGUAUUUGCACGUGGAUCAGGAUUUUCAACAUCUUGGUGAAGCCCUCAGGGACAUGAUAUUCAAAUGUUUGCCACAGAUCAGCAGAAUCAGUGUAAGAUCUACAGAUUCUGGAAUUGGUUCAAGGUAU